UGGGUUGUAGCUAAGUUAGUAGAGUAUUUCCCUAACAUGCAUAAAGUUCUGGGUUCAAACCCCAGCAACACAU
rnacentral:tRNA from 1 species